rnacentral:rRNA from 1 species
GUGGGGAAUCUUGCGCAAUGGGCGAAAGCCUGACGCAGCCAUGCCGCGUGAAUGAUGAAGGUCUUAGGAUUGUAAAAUUCUUUCACCGGGGACGAUAAUGACGGUACCCGGAGAAGAAGCCCCGGCUAACUUCGUGCCAGCAGCCGCGGUAAUACGAAGGGGGCUAGCGUUGCUCGGAAUUACUGGGCGUAAAGGGCGCGUAGGCGGACAGUUUAGUCAGAGGUGAAAGCCCAGGGCUCAACCUUGGAAUUGCCUUUGAUACUGGCUGUCUUGAGUACGGGAGAGGUGAGUGGAACUCCGAGUGGAGAGGUGAAAUUCGUAGAUAUUCGGAAGAACACCAGUGGCGAAGGCGACUCACUGGCCCGUUACUGACGCUGAGGCGCGAAAGCGUGGGGAGCAAACAGGAUUAGAAACCCGUGUAGUCC